AUACGGAGGAUGCGAGCGUUAUCCGGAUUUAUUGGGUUUAAAGGGAGCGUAGGCGGGAGCUUAAGUCAGCGGUUAAAUGGUGCGGCUCAACCGUGCCCUGCCGUUGAAACUGGGUUUCUUGAGAGUGCAAGAGGCGGAUGGAAUUCAUGGUGUAGCGGUGGAAUGCUUAGAUAUCAUGAAGAACUCCGGUUGCGAAGGCAGUCCGCUGGGGCACGUCUGACGCUGAUGCUCGAAGGUGCGGGAAUCAAACAGGAUUAGAUACCCUGGUAGUCCGCACAGUAAACGAUGGACACCCGCGGUUUGGCCUGUAUGGCUGAGCCGCCAAGCGAAAGCGUUAAGUGUCCCACCUGGGGAGUACGCCGGCAACGGUGAAACUCAAAGGAAUUGGCGGGG
rnacentral:rRNA from 1 species